rnacentral:misc_RNA from 1 species
CACCCCUCAAGCCUGGCUUGGUGUUGGGCGACGUCCUCUUUGGGGACGCGCCUCAAAACGCUCGGCGGCGUGGCACCGGCUUUAAGCGUAGCAGAAUCUUAUCUUUCGCUUUGAAAGUCGGGGCCACAUCUGCCGGAAGACCUACUCGCAA